AUUUAGGCAAAGCAUUUGAAAAGGUGUGACGCAAAGCUAUAGGGCCUGUAAAAUGGUAGCCAGUUGC
rnacentral:ncRNA from 1 species